CCAGCAGCCGCGGUAAUACGGAGGGUGCGAGCGUUAAUCGGAAUUACUGGGCGUAAAGCGCAUGCAGGUGGUUUGUUAAGUCAGAUGUGAAAGCCCCGGGGCUCAAACCUCGGAACUGCAUUUGAAACUGGCAGACUAGAGUACUGUAGAGGGGGUAGAAUUUCAGGUGUAGCGGUGAAAUGCGUAGAGAUCUGAAGGAAUACCGGUGGCGAAGGCGGCCCCCUGGACAGAUACUGACACUCAGAUGCGAAAGCGUGGGGAGCAAACAGGAUUAGAUACCCUGGUAG
rnacentral:rRNA from 1 species